rnacentral:rRNA from 1 species
GACGAACGCUGGCGGCGUGCUUAACACAUGCAAGUCGAACGGAAAGGCCCUGCUUUUGUGGGGUGCUCGAGUGGCGAACGGGUGAGUAACACGUGAGUAACCUGCCCUUGACUUUGGGAUAACUUCAGGAGACUGGGGCGCAUACCGGAUAGGAGCUCCUGCUGCAUGGUGGGGGUUGGAAAGUUUCGGCGGUUGGGGAUGGACUCGCGGCUUAUCAGCUUGUUGGUGGGGUAGUGGCUUACCAAGGCUUUGACGGGUAGCCGGCCUGGGAGGGUGACCGGGCACAAUGGGACUGAGAGAGGGCCCAGACUCCAACGGGAGGCAGCGGUGGGAAAUAUGGCAGAAUGGGCGGAAGCCUGAGGUAGCAAUGUCGGGUGCGGGAUGACGGGUUUCGGGUGGUAAACCGCUUUGGACUGUGACGAAGAGUGAGUGACGGUAAUGGGUAAGGAAGCAACGGCUAACUACGUG